rnacentral:rRNA from 1 species
UAAUACGUAGGGUGCGAGCGUUAAUCGGAAUUACUGGGCGUAAAGCGUGCGCAGGCGGUUUCGUAAGACAGACGUGAAAUCCCCGGGCUCAACCUGGGAACUGCGUUUGUGACUGCGAGGCUAGAGUACGGCAGAGGGGGGUAGAAUUCCACGUGUAGCAGUGAAAUGCGUAGAGAUGUGGAGGAAUACCGAUGGCGAAGGCAGCCCCCUGGGUUGGUACUGACGCUCAUGCACGAAAGCGUGGGGAGCAAACAGGAUUAGAUACCCUGGUAGUCCACGCCCUAAACGAUGUCAACUAGGUGUUGGAAGGGUUAAACCUUUUAGUACCGCAGCUAACGCGUGAAGUUGACCGCCUGGGGAGUACGGCCGCAAGGUUA